rnacentral:lncRNA from 1 species
UGAACUGUAAAGCUGCAAGGACUGUUGGACUGUUUUGUAAACAGAAUUACUGUUUUGUAAAGGAGAUAAUUACAGCUUUGUAGUGGGGUUUAGUUGCAGUUUUUUUUUGGUCUUAUCUACAGCCAGCUCAGCCCCAAUUGCUACGUGUUGAGAAAUCUCCUCUCCUCUCAUCUUCUUUUCGUUUCUUUCUCUCUCUCUCUAAACUCUAAGGUUGGCCGGUUGAUGGUUGAAGAAAGAAGGAUUUUGGAGCAGGGAAAAGCUUGGUAGAGCUGAAUUUCAAGGUAACUUUGAUCAAAUCCUGGUUAGAGUUGAGUUAUUUACCUUCACAGGAAGUUAGUUGGAGUUUCAUGAUAAUUAAAGUGUAUAGAAAGCUUAAGAAAGCUGUAUCAUGGACAGCACAUAGGUAUUUCCUGGAUUAGAAGUGAAAUUGAAUGAGAAACCAUGCAAUUCCUGGUUUGAGGGUUAUGUAUUUACAUUCUAAAGAGAUCUAAGCCGCAGAUUUAAGUAUUAGAGCUCUUAAUACCAUGAGAAGGCUUAAGGGAAAUUUCAGGGCAGCUUGUAUGUGGAGUUAUGUUUGUGAAUUGUAUGUUAAAGAAAGAAAUCUGCUGUGAAUGAACCUUAAUUAUUGAACAAGAGUGAUGUUAAUCACUGCAUAAAGAGGUUAAAUCAUGGAUAAUUUAGCAUAUAGGGAUUUAAUUAUGCUGAAAACUGCAUAUAUGUAUAUAUGGAUAUAUAUAUAUAUAUAUAUAUAUAUAUAUAUAUAUACACAUAGAAGGAAUGGUUAGAGUAAAAUCUAAAAUAGAUUACCUCUAAACCUAGUUAUAGAUGAUUCCCUGCUGUGUAAAGAAGUUAAGUAAAGGGUUCCUAUGAGCUGAAUUAGAGAACUAACUAGAUGUAUAUGUAUAUUGAUACUAUGCAUACAAAUUGAGUUAGUUAGCCUGGAGAAGAGUUAGAUAAAGAGUUCUUGGCUGCUAGGACUUGAAACUUGGUGAGUUGGUGGGCAGAUUAGUGUGUUUGGUCUUGUUGGAGCUGCCGAAAUGGGAAGCUCAACCUGGGAAGCUUCGAACCUGAGGUAAUUAGUUACUUCUCAGCUGUGGUGUAAUUUAAUUGCUCAUUGAGAGAGAUUCUUAGGUGAAUUAAGUCGUAGAAGCUUAAUAAACCCUGUUGGGAGCAGAUAUGUAUAUAUGAUGGUACUUAUUAAUGAUUGUUGGCAGAAGAGGAAUUGUGAGCUGCUGCCUUGAUGCAAGUUCUGGGCGCCCGAAAUUGAAAAGGAAUUGAGGAGUUGGCAGCUUGCUGCCUGAUUGUGAUGGGAGGAGCAUCCGAAUUGAGGGGCCAGUAGUUGAAUCAUUGAAAUCUGAGGUAAAAGAAAACUUAAUUACUGCUGGAAUUAAUACUUGAAGUUAUACAAGAACUACAUAGAUGUAUGUAUGUAUGUACAUGUAGGUGUAUAUGUGCAGAAUGGUAAGGAGUGAAACCUGGAAUAAGUCAAUCUUAAUUCCUGAAUUGGUAUAAUGUUAAUUGCUGUAAGGAAAUGUUAAGUGAGGAACCUUGGAAGUAUUGAAGCUUCUAAGCAUCAUGAGCUUAUAGAAUCAGCUCUAUGUUAUAUACACAUGUGUGUAUAUGUAUAACUUAGAACUAAUUGUUGGAAGACAAAGUAUGAAGUAAAGUUAUUCUAAACCUGUUAAGUGUAGAGCUACUAAGAAAAUUGAUAGUAAGACUAUGUAUAUGUUGAUAUUAUAUACAUAUAAGUAAGUUGAGGUUAAAAUGCAAGUAGAGACAGAUUGGUCUCUUUCCCUAUUUUGAACUAUAUUGAUUACUCUAUAAGAAGUUUGAGAGCAAUGGAAUUGCUGAAUGGAAUUGGUACUAGUUACUGUGUAAGAAGUUAAGUUAUAUGUAAGAUAGUUAAUGUGUGAGCUAUGAAUUAAAUUGAAGUAGAACCUGUAGCAGAAUUGUAAUGUUAACUAUUAAGAUUGAUGUUACUACUUAAAGAGAGUUAAGUAUGAGUUAUUUUAACUUCUGAAAUCUUAAUCUGCCAUAGAGAAUUUAAUAAAAGAGUAUAUGUAUAGAGGUAUUAACACUAUACCUAUAUAUAUAUAUAUAUAUAUAUAUAUAUGCAAGUUAAAGUCGAAAUGCAAAGUUGUAGAAGAUGUGAAUGUAACUUCGGUUUAAUCUCUUUUAUUCCUUUCUAAAUGAAGGUCAGACGUGCUCGGAAGUUCGAAUUGAUAUUCCGACGGACCUACGAUGCGUGAAUUAAGAAAUGCUUCGUUCUAGCCCUAUUCGCAUCGAGUCGCAUAGACUAAUGUUUGUACGGUUCGUGACGUUGGUUCUAGUCUUUGACAUCACUACAG